UCUGGCCAAAGAACGGCCCAGGAGCUGCCUCCUGCACAGCAGGAACCUCCACCCCUGCAUGCCCACAGCCCUCUCCUCUAAUGAGAACAUCUGCCUCACAGGAGGCAACGCAUGCAAGAGGCAUCCAAGCCAUGUGGCAAGGUUUUCCAAAGCAGGGCAAACCCAGAACAACCCUGUAUAGUUUGCAACAGCAGAGAAGAUCACAGGACAAGGAGAGUUUGCAACAGAAUUGCUAAGACCAUCUCUAAUUUAAGCUGACAGAAAAGCAAAUUGAGAAAGAGAUAUAGUCAACCAUUUGAAGCUUGGCCCUUCUUAAUCAUCCACAGAAAGCAAGAGCUCAGUGUUGCCAUCUCAUUGCACAGCAUGCCAGAACAGCAGGACAUGAGGAGAUGAGGAGAGGAACACAUGAGGAGAUACCCAGUAUGGGGAACUGGAGAGAACAACCCUGAAAUGGUGAAGAUUAUGAGGUUGGCACAAGCUCUGACGGUUGGCUAUAUCAGGAAGUUGUUUAGGACAUUCUCGGGAUAAAAGACGUUAAAGGGAUGAAUGUCUAGAA